AUACGGGGGGGGGGCAAGCGUUUGUUCGGAAUUACUGGGCGUAAAAGCGCGUGUAGGCGGCCCUGCAAGUCGGGUGUGAAAUCCCACGGCUCAACCGUGGAAAGUGCACUCGAAACUGCAGGGCUAGAGUCCUGGAGAGGAAGGUGGAAUGCUUGGUGUAGAGGUGAAAUUCGUAGAUAUCGGGAGGAACACCGGGUGGCGAAGGGCGGGACUCUGGGCCGAUCUGACGCUGAGGAGGCGAAAAGCGUGGGGGAGCGAACAGG
rnacentral:rRNA from 1 species